rnacentral:rRNA from 1 species
GAUGAACGCUGGCGGCGUGCCUAAUACAUGCAAGUCGAGCGAACAGACGAGGAGCUUGCUCCUCUGACGUUAGCGGCGGACGGGUGAGUAACACGUGGAUAACCUACCUAUAAGACUGGGAUAACUUCGGGAAACCGGAGCUAAUACCGGAUAAUAUAUUGAUCCGCAUGGUUCAAUAGUGAAAGACGGUUUUGCUGUCACUUAUAGAUGGAUCCGCGCCGCAUUAGCUAGUUGGUAAGGUAACGGCUUACCAAGGCAACGAUGCGUAGCCGACCUGAGAGGGUGAUCGGCCACACUGGAACUGAGACACGGUCCAGACUCCUACGGGAGGCAGCAGUAGGGAAUCUUCCGCAAUGGGCGAAAGCCUGACGGAGCAACGCCGCGUGAGUGAUGAAGGUCUUCGGAUCGUAAAACUCUGUUAUUAGGGAAGAACAAAUGUGUAAGUAACUAUGCACGUCUUGACGGUACCUAAUCAGAAAGCCACGGCUAACUACGUG